AAACUGGAAGCAUAUUACCUGAUCUACAUUGCCAGCAUGAUCGUUUCCUAAAAAAAACAGGGAGAAAAGUCAGAAUGAUCAUGACAAAAACAACAGUUUGUGGCUCUGCCGCUGGAUCAGGAGAACGGAUUUUCUUUUGGGGGCGAAUGUCCCAAAGUGGCACUCCAUCCAGAGGGGACCCUACUCUACCUCUUUUAGGUGGUCUUUCUCCCUGCCCUGCCCAGGCCCGCCGGCUCUCUCAGACCCACCGGCCAGCUCAGAGCCCGUCAUGGUGACUGCGGAGCACCCUGUCACGAGCUCUCUGGGGGAAAGGAGUGUGAGGCACGAGCUCCUGAGCGCACAAAAAAACUCUGGGGAAGAGCCCCCGAGCCCAGCAGACGUACCCUUCAUGGUUCGGCUACAACAUCAACAAACAGGGCAGCGGAGACAGGAUCAAUGAGGCUGACAAUCCAGAAUCAGUCAGCGAUCACUUUGGAAUUUGAAAACACCAUAAAGCAGAUUUAAUGGAAAUCUCUUGUUUUACCUCAGUGAAUAGAGAUGGCGAUAUAAUAUUUGUUUUUUGUUAUACCUAGACCAGAAUUAGUCUAGAAAAUCAGUAUAAGAAUAAUUUGUAUAAUUACACUGCACUAAAAUAAUUAAUUACAUGCAUCCCCUAAGGCUUGUAACACAAGGCAGAAAGGACACAGAGAGAAAGGAAAAUGACAUUUUUAAUACAAAGGACCCAGUAUCUGAAUUGGCUCUCUUGGUACUUUGACCUCACAGGAGUACAAGGCUUAAAAAUACAUACUAGAUCUCUCCAGCACACACAAGAAAAAUGAUAAAUAGACAUCACUUCUAAGGCAACACAUUUCCACUAUUUAUUUUUACUAUUUAUACAAUGGUUCACAGGAAUUUCCAUCCUAAAACAAAGUGCAUUAUAAAUAUCAUAAAUGGCUAUUUUAAAAUUUUCUGUGAGAAUCCAAGAAUUUAAACAUAGUCAGGCAUUAAAAGGUCAAGUAGCUUCAUAAUUUGGUGUUAACAGCAUUGUAACAUGGAGAAAUAACUUUAGUGGAACUGCCUACAAAGAAGAAAAGAUUAGACUGCCAGUGGUGAUUUGUUGCCUCUGAUUGCCUGCCUCAUUACUGAAAAGGGCUGAAUUCAAACCUUUGCCUGCACACAUGACAGGCCAGUGGUGUGAGCUGUAGGACAGGCAGGCUUGAAGACCUGACCGAGGUGUUAACUUCCAGCGCAGUGUGCUUGAGUAUAGUAAAGGAUGUGACUGCUGCACGAGAUGACUGCAGCUGUUUAUUAAAUAAAAAUGUCAAAUGAUUCCCACAGCUGCGUGUAAAGGGGAGAAACGCAAAGUAUUAGUGAAAAUGUUGGGAUUUUUCCCAGAUUUCUGCCUUCUUUUGCUCCCUGUACAGUAAGGCUUUAUGCACGCUGCUGUGAAGCCACGAACCAAUUGUACUUCUCAUCGGCUUUCCCUGAGCCAAAAUAAAGCUGGAAUAAUGCUCCUACUCCAUCACGCUAAGCCUUAUUGGCUCAACAUAAGAAACAAUGAAACUUCAUCUGAGACCAGAUUAGGUUGGUUAAAAAAUUGAGGGAUUGUUUUUCUUUCAGUCUCCAUUAUCUUUCCUAUAGCAUCUUGAUCAGCUUCCUUACAUACUGUCACUAAUUCUGUGAAGACCUGUAAACUGCUUUUUUGGCUGCCAAAUUGCCGUAACCCUCUUAUUUUAUGUUCUAAAAGAGCUUAAGUCUGUCCAUCCUCUUUGGAUGUGCCUUUUUAAAUUGGCCGAUACUGGGAGGAUUUUAGAUAUAUCUAAAGGCUUAGAAGAAGAUGUAGUUGCCACUGAGCCUCCAGUUGUAUAGUCAACAAGCAUGAAAAGCCUAUAAGGAUAAAAAGAACAAGACCAUUUUUAUCUAAUACAUACAAAUCCACAUAAAUACUCAAUGUAUUAGAGAAAAAAACUAUACACUUCCUUUCCCCCCCUCAAAUGGAGCCAGAUCAAGCCAUCCACACAUUUGACUCGUGUAUUUAGUCACAGUGUUGUUCUCUUCACUCUUUUUCUAUUUAAAUCAUGUUCAUAUAAAGGCCUCCUGAUGAUAUCUUGCAGGAGAUGAAAAAAGGGACGAUACUCCCACUUUCCUUUCAGAUUUUCAGCCCAAGUCAGAUUAUUAUUUGUCUUCUGGUAAUGUUUGAAAACUAAGUCAAUUUUAUUUUACAUAACUUCAAAUUUCUUGGUUUUUUAAAGAAUACCAAGAUUAUUUUCAGAAAUAAUCAUUCAACCCCAGCUAUAAUUUUGCUUUCAACUUAGUCUAUUAUGAGGGAGAAGGCAAACUGGAAACCAGAUUUUAAGAUGUUUUUUAAAUGUACUUUGUGCAACAUUAUUGGACACAGUUAUUAAUAGUGUCUGUUAAUUCUUGAAAUAAAUGAAAAAAGUUCACCUAUAAUAAAGGAUUUCUUUUUCUGUGCGAUAAUUAUAAACAUGAUUAGUAUCAAAAUAGUGGAGAUGAAGGGACAUUUGAUGCUCUUGAAAUCAAUAGUUUAUAGUUUGGAUUAUGGAUUACCGAUGCAAAAUACUUUAACUCUCACUAAUGUCCCCACCAUCAGGAAUGUUCACACAUAAGGGUUACUGUUAUUAAUCUA